rnacentral:rRNA from 1 species
GAUGAACGCUGGCGGCGUGCUUAACACAUGCAAGUCGAACGGAAAGGCUCCUGCUUGCCGGGGUACUCGAGUGGCGAACGGGUGAGUAACACGUGGGUGAUCUGCCCUGCACUUCGGGAUAAGCCUGGGAAACUGGGUCUCAUACCGGAUAGGACGAUGGUUUGGAUGCCAUUGUGGAAAGUUUUUUCGGUGUGGGAUGAGCUCGCGGCCUAUCCGCUUGUUGGUGGGGUAAUGGCCUACGAAGGCGUCGACGGGUAGCCGGCCUGGGAGGGUGUACGGCCACAUUGGGACUGAGAGACGGCGCAGACGCCUACGGGAGGCAGCAGUGGGGAAUAUGGCACAAUGGGCGCAAGCCUGAUGCAGCGACGCCGCGUGGGGGAUGACGGCCUUCGGGUUGUAAACACCUUUCGCUAGAGACGAAGCGCAAGUGACGGUACCUGGAGAAGAAGCACCGGCUAACUACGUG